UUGGUGAUAAUUAGGUGUGAUAAGAGGUUAAGGGUGGAUUGAGAGGGUCUGUCAGGGAGACAGGCGCCGCGGGGACAGCCCCGAGAGGGGCGCUCCUGUGCCCCAGGUCACCCCACCCUGAGUGCAGUCUCUCAGGCAGGCCAUAAUACAGAAGGUGUGGUUGUAAUUCCGAGGGUAGAGUCAUCACAUCCCUAAUUCGACAGAGUUACUGUGUCUUGGGUAAACAUCACGUUCAAAGAGCCACAUCCCUCCAGUUUCCUCCAAAAAUAACUUCCGACUUCAGUCAUCAAUCUCCAAAAACAAGAAAGCUGGACCAUCCAUCCCUUAACACACACUUCUGUUUGACAGGCUCUAUAGCCUGAAGCAUCUGAUUGGUGGAGCACCUCGUGACGCCUGAGCAAAGACGCCGGAUGCCUGCGAGGGAUCAAAUGUGCUGCUCCAGCUUCCCAUCGCUCUCAGAAUAAACAUCAAUGUACAUCAGAAAAUCAUCUGCCAGUUUUUAGAAGACAUGGGGACCAUUUGUCAUUCAUUUCACAUUUUCUACUUUUAGUUAACAUGUUUAAAUGAUGUCUUUUGUCUUUUCCAAAUGUGUGUGUGUAUAUGCAGGAAGAGAUAUAAAUAUUUUUAAUUUGCUGUCCAUCUUUUUAUCUUGUGUCUGUGACCGAACUCUCUUUUAUGGCAUUUUUGUUGUUGUUGUUUCUUUCUUUCUUUCUUUCCUCUUUCCUUUCUCUUAUUCUCUUCUCUCUUAUACCUAUUUAAAAUCUGAAUUUACUGCUUGUUAUAACUUGCUUGUUUGGAAUCCCAUAAAAUA